GAUGAACGCUGGCGGCGUGCUUAACACAUGCAAGUCGAACGAGAAUCAAUGAAUCAAGACUUCGGUCAAGUGAAGUUGAGGACAGUGGCGGACGGGUGAGUAACGCGUGAGGAACCUGCCUCGGAGUGGGGAAUAACAGUUGGAAACAGCUGCUAAUACCGCAUAAUGCAUACGGAUCGCAUGGUCUGUAUGCCAAAGAUUUAUCGCUCUGAGAUGGCCUCGCGUCUGAUUAGCUAGUUGGCGGGGUAACGGCCCACCAAGGCGACGAUCAGUAGCCGGACUGAGAGGUUGGCCGGCCACAUUGGGACUGAGACACGGCCCAGACUCCUACGGGAGGCAGCAGUGGGGAAUAUUGGGCAAUGGGCGCAAGCCUGACCCAGCAAUGCCGCGUGAAGGAAGAAGGCUUUCGGGUUGUAAACUUCUGUCUUAUGGGAAGAACACAGACGGUACCAUAGGAGGAAGCCACGGCUAACUACGUGCCAG
rnacentral:rRNA from 1 species